rnacentral:piRNA from 1 species
UCUGAGUUUAGUUUUCCUUUA